CCGCCGCGGUAAACGUAGGGGGCAAGCGUUAUCCGGAUUUACUGGGCGUAAAGAGCGUUGAGGCGGUUUUGUAAGUUGGGGGUGAAAGCCCUGGGCUUAACUCAGGGAAGGCGUUCGAUACUGCGAAACUUGAGGGCAGCAGAGGGAGGUGGAAUUCCCGGAGUAGCGGUGAAAUGCGUAGAUAUCGGGAGGAACACCAGUGGCGAAGGCGGCCUCCUGGGCUGCUCCUGACGCUGAAGGCGAAAGCUAGGGGAGCGAACGGGAUUAGAAACCCCGGUAGUCCUAGCCGUAAACGAUGGAUGCUAGGUGUGGGGGGUGUAGAUUCCCUCCGUGGCGCAGAUUAACCCGUUAAGCAUACCGCCUGGGGAGUACGGACGCAAGGCUAAAACUCAAACGAAUUGACGGGGGCCCGCACAAGCAGCGGAGCGUGUGGUUUAAUUCGAUGCUACACGAAGAACCUUCACUGGGCUUGACAUACAGGUAGUAGUGAAGUGAAAGCGGAUCGACCCUUCGGGGAGCCUGUACAGGUGCUACAUGGCUGUCGUCAGCUCGUGCCGUGAGGUGUCGGGUUAAGUCCCGUAACGAGCGCAACCCUUGCUGUUAGUUAUACGUGUCUAAGAGGACUGCCGGCGGUAAACCGGAGGAAGGUGGGGAUGACGUCAAGUCAGCAUGGCCUUUAUGUCCAGGGCUACACACACGCUACAAUGGGCGGUACAAUGGGUAGCUAAACCGCGAGGUGGAACCAAUCCUGUAAAGCCGGUUUCAGUUCGAAUUGCAGGUUGCA
rnacentral:rRNA from 1 species